rnacentral:ribozyme from 14 species
GAAAACCUGCUCUCCGGCACCAACAUCUCCAGCGAAAGCGGGGGCGGCAACACCUCCAGCGAUAGCGGCAGCAACGGCACCAGCUUGGGCGGCCUAUCAAUGACAAAAAAGAGAACAAGUUAUGUGAGAAAACAAGCAGUGAAGGAAGACAUGAACAAUGGGUGAAAAGACACACACAGCAGAAUCUCACCUUGGCCAAGUCCUUGGGA